AUGCCACGGGGCUGGAUUGGGGACGGCGCUGGACAUAUUGCAACAAUUACCAAGGAGCUUAGAGCAGCAGUGUACAUCGGCAAUGGACUGCUCAUGGCGAAGUGCGUGCCUCCCAAGCCGCGGCGUCGAACUACUUCGAGUUGUGUUGUUGAACAACCCGGUGUGGCGAUGGUGAACGGCAUGGGCGGUGCCGCGGUGGAGCCCCACCAGCAGUGGCAGGAAGCUCGACACAAUCGGCCUAGUAGCUACGACGGUGAACGGCCUGGGGUGGCCGGGUUGGAUGCUGGUCGCAGUGGCGGCGAACCCAACGCCCUGGCCACACCGGGAUGGUAG
rnacentral:rRNA from 1 species